UCACAGCCGCCCGACCCGACGCCCUGCCCAGGACUCUGGACCGAAAGCAGGAAUGCCUAGGGGCGUACAUGACCUGCCACGUGUGGGAGGGGACGACACGAAAAUACCAGGAGGUGGAGAUCGUUGUGGGUCAUCCUGGAGGCUGUAGUAACAGUGGACAAAAAAAUGAAACCAUCUAAGCAUUAGAAGAAAACAGGUUUUUCAGUUAAAAAGGG